CCUACGGGUGGCAGCAGUCGAGAAUCAUUCACAAUGGGGGAAACCCUGAUGGUGCGACGCCGCGUGGGGGAAUGAAGGUCUUCGGAUUGUAAACCCCUGUCAUGUGGGAGCAAAUUAAAAAGAUAGUACCACAAGAGGAAGAGACGGCUAACUCUGUGCCAGCAGCCGGGGUAAUACAGAGGUAUCAAGCGUUGUUCGGAAUCACUGGGCGUAAAGCGUGCGUAGGCUGUUUCGUAAGUCGGGUGUGAAAGGCGCGGGCCCAACCCGCGGACGGAACAUGAUACUGCGAGACUAGAGUAAUGGAGGGGGAACCGGAAUUCUCGGUGUAGCAGUGAAAUGCGUAGAUAUCGAGAGGAACACUCGUGGCGAAGGCGGGUUCCUGGACAUUAACUGACGCUGAGGCACGAAGGCCAGGGGAGCGAAAGGGAUUAGAUACCCCGGUAGUC
rnacentral:rRNA from 1 species